GAUGAACGCUGGCGGCGUGCCUAAUACAUGCAAGUCGAGCGAACAGACGAGGAGCUUGCUCCUCUGACGUUAGCGGCGGACGGGUGAGAAACACGUGGAUAACCUACCUAUAAGACUGGGAUAACUUCGGGAAACCGGAGCUAAUACCGGAUAAUAUAUUGAACCGCAUGGUUCAAUAGUGAAAGACGGUUUUGCUGUCACUUAUAGAUGGAUCCGCGCCGCAUUAGCUAGUUGGUAAGGUAACGGCUUACCAAGGCAACGAUGCGUAGCCGACCUGAGAGGGUGAUCGGCCACACUGGAACUGAGACACGGUCCAGACUCCUACGGGAGGCAGCAGUAGGGAAUCUUCCGCAAUGGGCGAAAGCCUGACGGAGCAACGCCGCGUGAGUGGUGAAGGUCUUCGGAUCGUAAAACUCUGUUAUUAGGGAAGAACAAAUGUGUAAGUAACUAUGCACGUCUUGACGGUACCUAAUCAGAAAGCCACGGCUAACUACGUG
rnacentral:rRNA from 1 species